UACAGAGGGUGCAAACGUUGCUCGGAAUUACUGGGCGUAAAGCGCGUGUAGGUGGUUUCGCGAGUCCGAUGUGAAAGCCCAGAGCUCAACUCUGGAAGUGCAUUGGAUACUACGAAGCUUGAGUGUUGGAGGGGAGAGCGGAAUUUCCGGUGUAGAGGUGAAAUUCGUAGAUAUCGGAAGGAACACCAGUGGCGAAGGCGGCUCUCUGGACAAACACUGACACUGAUACGCGAAAGCGUGGGGAUCAAACAGG
rnacentral:rRNA from 1 species